UUAACGAUGAAGAGUUUGAUCCUGGCUCAGGAUGAACGCUAGCGGCAGGCCUAACACAUGCAAGUCGAGGGGUAACAGGGUUGCUUGCAACCGCU
rnacentral:rRNA from 1 species